UCCCAUGUGGCUCAGUUGGUAGAGCAUGGUGUUUGCAAUUCCAGGGUUGUGGGUUUGAUUCCCACGGGGGAC
rnacentral:tRNA from 1 species